AACGAACGCUGGCGGCAGGCUUAACACAUGCAAGUCGAACGCUCGUAGCAAUACGGGAGUGGCGGACGGGUGAGUAACGCGUGGGAACGUGCCCUGAGGUACGGAAUAACUGAGGGAAACUUCAGCUAAUACCGUAUGAGCCCCGAGAGGGGAAAGAUUUAUCGCCUUGGGAGCGGCCCGCGUCGGAUUAGCUAGUUGGUGGGGUAACGGCCUACCAAGGCUUCGAUCCGUAGCUGGUCUGAGAGGACGAUCAGCCACACUGGGACUGAGACACGGCCCAGACUCCUACGGGAGGCAGCAGUGGGGAAUCUUGCGCAAUGGGGGCAACCCUGACGCAGCCAUGCCGCGUGAACGAUGUAGGCCUUAGGGUUGUAAAGUUCUUUUACCCGUGACGAUGAUGACGGUAACGGGGAAUAAGCUCCGGCU
rnacentral:rRNA from 1 species